UGCCGCAGGUUCGGGUCUCACGUAGUGAGACAACGGAGCCGCUUGCGGCGACGGCCCGAAGGGCGAGCGAAGCGAGUCAUCCUGCACGACCCACCA
rnacentral:sRNA from 1 species